UACGUAGGUGGCAAGCGUUGUCCGGAUUUACUGGGCGUAAAGAGCGCGCAGGCGGUCGGAUAAGUCGAAUGUGAAAGCCCCCGGCUUAACUGGGGAGGGUCAUUCGAUACUGUUCGACUCGAAGGCAGGAGAGGGAAGUGGAAUUCCCGGUGUAGCGGUGAAAUGCGUAGAGAUCGGAAGGAACACCAGUGGCGAAGGCGGCUACCUGGACAGAUACUGACACUGAGGCGCGAGAGCGUGGGGAGCAAACAGG
rnacentral:rRNA from 1 species